GUAAGAAUGCAUGGAGAUGAAAUAAAAGGGUAAGGUGUAGGUGUGGUACCAAACUAUUGAUGAGUCUGGCCAUUCAGGAUUAUUAAAGAGUGGUAAAAUGUGGUAAAGAAAAUCCUGAAUGUGUAUAUGGUGUACCGUUUCCUGAUGUUGAUUCCUGGUCAAAAGAAAUUAAAUUCAUUAAUGGUCAAAAAUAGUUGAGUCGAUUACAAUUCACCGAGACUUGAUAAAAGAUUUAAGGAGAGGUUGCUUGGUCAAGUGGUUCCUCGGUUUGUCUGCGCUAACAGUCCUGAAAAAUGGUCAAUAUGAAAUGUAAUACACAACACACAAGGAAAUAGUCUAAUAAUCA
rnacentral:lncRNA from 1 species